UGGGGGGCCUCCCUUGGGGGCGGCGCGCGGGCAGCCGCGUUGCUAUGGUAACAGCGGGUUCCAAUCAGGCACCGAGCGGGGCAGCCGCGUUGCCAUGGCAGCGGGGGCCUUCCGUGAGGCCGGCGCGCAACAUGGCGGCGCCCAGGGCGAGCGCGGGCCCGGGUGAGGGAACGGGAAAGGGAAAGGGAACGGGAAAACGGGAAAGGGAACGGGAAAGGGAAAACGGGAGCGGGAAAGGGAGUGGGAUCGGGAAAGGGAAAACGGGAACGGGAAUGGGAAAGGGAAAACGGGAAAGGGAACAGGAAUGGGAACGGGAGCGGGAAACGGGAGUGGGAAAGGGAACGGGUGCGGAAAUGGGAAAGGGAACAGGAACGGGAAAGGGAGCGAGAACGGGAAUGGGACACGGUAGCGGGAAACGGGAAAAUGGGAACGGGAAACGGGAGUGGGAAAGGGAACGGGAAAGGGAAAUGGGAGCGGGAACGGGAAAGGGAAACGGGAAAACGGGACCAGGAAAGGGGAAAACGGGAACGGGAAACGGGAGCGGAAACGGGAGCGGGAACUGGAAUGGGAAAAUGGGACCGGGAACGGGACUGGGAAAUGGGAACGGGGAAACGGGAACGGGAACUAGAAAGGCAACGGGAAUGGGAGCGGGGCCGGGACUGGGAACAGGAGUGGGAACGGGAACUGGAAUGGGAAAACGGGACCCAGAACGGGACUGGGAACGGGAGCGGGAGUGGAAACAGGAAAGGGAACGGGAAUGGGAAAGCGGGAAAACGGGACCCGGAAGGGGAAAGGGAACGGGAACGGGACUGGGAGUGGGCCCCGAGCAGCCUCCCCGUCCCCUCAGGGCCGCCACCGGCCUCAGGCGGGCAGAGCCGGGAUCGCCCGGGAAUGGUGGAGAGACCGGGCCGGGCCUGGGUGAGUGCCGGGAGACAGGGCAGGGAUCCCGCUGGGAUCCAGCCGGGGAAUCCACGGGAGGGAUUCAGGGGAGGGAUCCAGCUGUGGGAUCCAGGCAGGAUCCAGCUGUGAUCCCCUCGUGUCUCACCUUUGCUGUGUGGGGAAUUUCAGCACUUCCAUUUCUCCCAAGGGAAUUUUGUCUCUCCCCAGGCUGCCAGGGCCCGGAGCAGGUCACCAGAUCCACUCGAGGACGUGCUCGGGGAGCUCCUGGGAUCCGAUGAGGAGGCCCCGGCUCCGCCCUCCCGAGGCUCCCGUGCCUCCUUCCCACAGGAGCCGAAUCACCGGGAUCACCCGGAUCCUGUGGAUCACCUGGAUGAGCUGGACGCGCUGGAUGCAGAAAUCCUGGGAAUGGCCAGAGCCGGGUCCAGGCCGGGGAAACGCGGGAAGGGGCCGGGUCCCCAAACAGGUACCAGGAAUUCCCAUGGGAUCGACCCCAGUGCUGUGGGAUCGACCCCAUCCCGUGGGAUCAACCCCAUUCCAUGGGAUCAACCCCAUUCCAUGGGAUCAACCCUAUUCUAUGGGAUCAGUUCCAUUCCCACGGGAUCAACCCCAUCCCAUGGGAUCAACCCCAUCCCAUGGGAUCAACCCCAUCCCUUGGGA
ensembl:lncRNA